rnacentral:rRNA from 1 species
UACGUAGGGGGCAAGCGUUGUCCGGAUUUAUUGGGCGUAAAGCGCGUGUAGGCGGCCAGAUAGGUCUGCUGUGAAAACUCGAGGCUCAACCUCGAGCUGUCGGCGGAAACCAUCUGGCUAGAGUUCGGAAGAGGUGAGUGGAAUUCCGAGUGUAGAGGUGAAAUUCGUAGAUAUUCGGAGGAACACCAGUGGCGAAGGCGGCUCGCUGGUCCAUUACUGACGCUGAGGUGCGAAAGCGUGGGGAGCAAACAGG